GAGAGAUUGCACUGGAGCAAGAUCUCUUCCACCUUGUCCAUCCUGUGCGCGGAGGCAUAGCCAGCGGCCAUGGCACCAAGCAACUUCUCCUGGAGCUGGAGCUCUUUCGCUUGUAGAGACUCUCGUCGAAUUCCCCGAAUGGUUUUUCUUCCGCGAGCCAGUCGAGAAUCUGCCGAUCGAUCGAAGAAAGAAACCAUCGAUCGCAUUAGAAGAAAAGAUGGAAGGAAAGAUAGAAGCGAACUUACCGAGAGUGCUUGCUUAGAACGUCGGAACGUUCGAAGCUUUCCAACGACGUAUAAGAUUCCUGGAA